rnacentral:lncRNA from 1 species
GCUCCAGUCCGCACCAGCAGCCAUUAAGAUCUCUGCCGACGUUUGGUCCCUCAAUUUAACAGCAAGAUGCAGAGGCGUCUCCCGACCAGGAACAUCCCGGCGAUCAAUGAUGGCGGAGAAUGCAUCAGCUUCCUGCUCAGAUGCAACAGACUGUUCUUCGGUAGUAACCUCACCAGCCUUGGCAAGGCGCGGCAGGUUCAAAAUAAUGCGUCUCAGGCCAGAAUAAUCACGUCGUGCGACUGCCAAAUGUGCAGGACUGUGAGAAUACUUGGAAACGUCUUCCAUGAGUAUCUAUUAUGUCCUUCGAUUUCCUCUAUCUAUCCCCUUAACCUACAAACUCUGUUCCAUUUCAGGCUAUUCAAACUCACCUUCCAACAAUGUAUACACCCUCAAGUAAAAAUUAGGGUU